rnacentral:tRNA from 1 species
GCCUGGGUGGCUCAGUUGGUUGAGCGUCUGACUUUGACUUGGGUCAUGAUCUCACAGUUCGUGGGUUCGAGCCCCGCAUCAGGCU